UACGAAGGGGGCUAGCGUUGCUCGGAAUCACUGGGCGUAAAGCGCACGUAGGCGGCUUCUUAAGUCAGGGGUGAAAUCCUGGAGCUCAACUCCAGAACUGCCUUUGAUACUGAAGAUCUUGAGUAUGGGAGAGGUGAGUGGAAUUUCCGGUGUAGCGGUGAAAUGCGUAGAUAUCGGAAGGAACACCUGUGGCGAAAGCGGCUCACUGGACCAUUACUGACACUGAGGCACGAAAGCUAGGGGAGCAAACAGG
rnacentral:rRNA from 1 species